UAAAAAACAAAGAAAAUUGUUCUUAGUUUCGACCUAAGCCUUAUGUUUAAACAUUUUAUUUA
rnacentral:tRNA from 1 species